GGGUUCUCAGACACGGGAAAUAAACCAACCAUCCAGACAAUACUGUAUUUACAGACACUAAAAAUAUUAAAAAGUAGUAUAUUAAAUUUUAAAUUGAAGCAAUUAUAUUGGGACCAAAAAAAAAAAAAAAAAAAAAAAAAAAAAUUGGACACUUUUUGCGGGUAGGAGGGAGUAAGUAAAAAGAGUUACAUUGCGUAUCUUAAUGUCUAUUUAUCAUUUUUUUGUUUUUUUUUAUUAAUUCAAAAGUCACUAAAAACUAAUUUUUUUCUUUUUUCUUUUUCAAUUUUGAUAUAUCGAAAUCUAAUUUUUCCAUAUAAGAAAUUUGUGGUAUUUUAUUAUCUCUUCUACUUUCAAAAUGAAUAGUGAAUGUUUAAAUUUACGAUAAAGUGAGUGUGUGAGUUUGUUUCCCCCAAAAAAAAAAAAAAAGAAAAGAAAAGAAAAAAAAUCUUAUUAAUCUAUUAAAAAUGCAAAAAAUGUAGGACCCUCACCCAGCAUGCAAUAAAAGACAAUAUUUUUGAUUAUGUCAGAUCCUGCCCUUGCACCCGUUGACUAGUUCAAGGAUUUUAACACACUACUAAUAAAAUACUGAGGGUAAAGUUCGAUUCACAGAUCCAAUUAAUUUGAUGUUCAGUAAUGAUAUGGUACCAGACUUUUAAACAUUUUAUACAUAUAAAGAAAGUUGCAGAGAAUAUUUAUUUUUGGUGGGUUUUGUUUCAUUUCACCAUCAUACUUUUCUGUUGGAAGGGAGAAGAGAUUUAAUGUUCUCAUAUUCAAACAAGUUUUAGUUGGUAACAGAUGACCAUAUGGGACUCAAAGGAACAACAUGAAGUCUUCUUCCAUAUCUAUUCCUACUGAGCACAAGAUCAAAGAGAUAAAAUAACCCAAAGUGGAAUUUUGCCCUCCAAAAACGGAAGAAGAAGAUGCGCUUCUUGGGUUAAACUUAACACGAGAAAAGAGAAAAUAACCCAAACUCAGUUAUCACAAAGAAAUUCUAAAUGGCAGUCCGCCUGAUGUUGACGUAACGUACGCCGAAGACUCAAUUCUACCAUUUUUUAGCUACACCGGCAAGCCAAGAUCCCGGAUCAGAGACCUUCAGGUUUUUGUUAUCUUUGAGAAAGGCUUGAUGUUAUCAAAAUUUAACUAGACAAGCGUCGAUGUAUCGACAUAUCGACAGAAACUUUCUGGAGUUUUGUCAAUAGGUUUGAGUCUAAUUCUCAUAAAAAAUACAUUUUUGGCUUAGUUUUGAAAAACCAAAUUACUUUAAAACAUUUUCAAAACAUAUGCCUACAUAUUGGACUAUUGAAAUUAAUUCUACAUCCUCGUUUGUAUGGACUAUUCAACUUCUUUUAAAAUAAGAUAAUGGAUUUCAUUCCAAAGACUUAAUCAACCUUUAAAGCUUUCUCCGAAGAGAUUUGCAUUUUUCAUUGUUUUCUUCAUUUGGAAUUUUUUAGGUUGAAGUAGCUGCAACUUUUUAGAUGGGGACAAUUUUUUCUCUCCAAUUACUCUCACUUGAUUGGUCUAAUGAGAGAUAAAAAAGGUGACUUAUCAUUUGAGUUAAAUUUAUAUAACUUCUGUAUACAAUAUAUCUAUUAUUUAAUUAAUUGACUUUCACUUCAUAAGACCCAGCUGGUUGAAAUUUGAGUAUCCCAAAAAAAAAAAAACCAAAACCCUAAAAAGGAGUAAGAACUUGGGAAAAUGAAAUAGAACAGAAGAAUAACUAAAGGAAAAUGAUCCAGAUACAUAUUGACAAAUAUAUAGAUAUAUUAUAUAUAUAGAGAAAUAUAUAGAUAUAUUAUAUAUUUGCUAAUUUUGCUUGUCUUGGAGUGUGUUUUAGGCCAACUUUAGUAAUGUGAUUGCCUUGAUUUUUAUGACACAUAUCUAUGUAUAUAAAAGGAUAAAGGUGGAAAAGGAAAAAAGAAAAAGAAAUAGGAAAGGGGAAGAAUAUAGAAUCGUAAUAGCGGGAAAAAACUACAGUAAAAUAAAAUAGAAACUUAGCCACUUUUUUUUUUUUUUUUUUUUUUUUUUCAAUCAUUCUCUUUAGAAUUUAAGGUUAAGGGGGUAAGAUUUAGUUUGUGGUGCAAGAAUGAAAGUUGUUCCAUUCGACGAAUCCUACGCAACUACAGUUCGAAAUUUUUGAUUUAAAGAAGUUUUCAGAAUCAGGUGAUUUGAAUCUAUAUUUUAGGUAGGGUAUACUAACCCUAAAAAUCUAUAAUUAUAUGAUUUGUUCUUCCUUAAAAUUUUGUUUGAGAAGCAUGCUAUGUAUACAUAUUUUAAUUUUGUUGAAUUGUUUUAAAGUGGGGUUAUUUUGUGUUUUAAUUUUAUUUUAAUUUCAGUCAAAAGGUAAAGUGGAAUUGUAUAAUAAUAUACUCUGUAUAAUAUAUUGUAUAAAGUAUAUGUAUAGAGUGGAAUUUUUAAAUAUGGUAAAACAAAAGUAAAUUUUUUUCUUGACUUGCUGACUUUGUGAUGACAAAAUUAUGUUGGAGAGGUUGCAUUAAUCACUACCGUUAGAUACUCACUAGAUAUUAUCUAGUGAGAGAGUAACUAGAGAGAAAUUUUUUUUUUUCUCUAGAUGUGUAACGACUCGAACCCGUGGGUUCGGUAUGGCCAUUUCGGUUAGCCGAUUGUGGCCCAUACAAAACAAAAGUCCCAAUCCGUCAAGAGCUGUGGUGGAUUGUCGACCGUCACUUCUUUUCCGUGACCUGAAAAAUGCAGAGGAAUGAGCACAAGGCAAGUAGAGAUUGACUAAAUGGCAUUUCCUAAAAUUAAGUAGCGAAACACAUGUUUAGACACGUUAAUGAUAGAGGAGAAGAAUAGGGAUCAUAUCGGGGUUACAUAUCAUCAAUAAUUAACAAGCAAUCCACUAUCAACCAUUUGAAAUAAUGCAAUGCAUGAAAUGGCUUAUUCAAUGCAUUCCACCCACACACUCUCACUCACCCAAUCCGCAUACUGAAAACGUACUAACUAUUCGGAUUUAGGUAACCCCCGCCGUCCCUAGGGAGAAUUUGCUAAUCGUCCCUGGCAAAAGGUGACUCCCAACUACCAUUUGGGGCCCGAGGUAGCUAAAUCACUCACGGGUGUUUUUCGUGUCCUUAUUAACUAGUUAGCACCGCCGGCAAAGGAGUACCCUUUCAACUACUGGGUUUAAGUAAAACCUUCCAUAUUAAUACCGCCGGCAAAGGAGUACCCCUCCAACUACCGGGUUUUUUUUUUUUAAAAAGCCUUUUCUCAAAACUUCUUCAAAACUUUUCUAAUUUACAUCACCAAAAUUUCCCUCACAACACACCCAAUACUCAAUGCCAAUACAACAAUGUUAAUGCCAUGCUUACAAUGGUCCACAAACUUUAAUAGUCAUCAUUGCCCACUUGUAGCCAUAAUUUUACCUCCACAUGAAUUGUUACACAGUCAUCAAAUUAUGAACAUACAUGGCAUUGACAAUGAUACAAUUAUUCUACAAGUCAACAUAUGAUCACUAAAACCACAAUAGUAUGAAUCUUACAAUUAAACAUUCACAUUGGCAAUUUUACAAACACAUAGCAUACUUGGCAUUUCAAGAAUAUUAAAAAUGUCAAUUUAAUAUCAAGUAGCAUGCUUGCUCACAAUUAGUCACAUAGUCCAUUCAACAAUUGAAAUUUCUCAUCACAUAAUCAUCAUUUAACACAUAACAACAAACAAAUUGACAUAUAUCAUCAAUUUAAUAAAACUUUAGCAUGCUAGUACCAAAUUGACAUCAAAUUGGCAAGUAAAAAUUGGGAAAAAAUAUGGAUUCAACUACAAAAUUUAAGGAUUAUGCAAGUUAAUAAACUUUACCUUGUUUUAAAGCAAAAGCCCCAAAAAUUACUCAAAUUUUGAAAUUCCUAGAGUUUGCCAAAUGAUGAAUUGCUUACAUCAAUGUGAAGAUCUCGCUGAACUC